UGUUGCAGGAGACAAAGGGGAUCAAGAUCGGCAUUCUUCUACUGCAGCAGCUAAUCCACUCCAAUUGGAACUGCUGGGCGCAGUAAGUUUCCACGAAACAUAAAAUACACCUAAUGCCACCUAAUUUGAGAGGGAAGAACCAUUUUGCUCUCGCUGGUCUCAAGCCAUUACAGAUCUGAGAGGAAGGGAGGGAGGAGUUCACAGAAGUUCAGGGUCAGCAAAUGUUCACGUAUCCUGUCAUCUACGAACUCAGAAGCUCAGGACACAAAAAACCCUCUUCUUCUUUUGCCACGCACAGAAACCUAACUGAAGUUCAUUAUCAUGAGCACAGAGCCUUUUUGGAAUCGUGUGUCUCCCGACAUAGUGCAGACUGGGGUCACUGACUGACAACGCCAGGCCGUGUCACGGGCUCCAUAAGAGGAACCAGCUCACAGGUCUUCUUUGCUUUGCCGCACUCCUGUAUACGCUGUGGGAGGCCUGAGCUCCAUCGCUCUGCAGGCAGGGCCGAGUGGGAGCUGACUUCACAGAAUCAGUGCCGGCUGAAAAUUCGCCUGCUUACAGCUCCAUUGGACCCUCCCAGCAGCACAAAUGAACCAGAACACGGAAAAAUGUUUCCCAGCAAACAGAAAUCACCUGCUCUUGCCUAAAAAAGGAGUGCAAGCAUAAAACCACUUCUUACGUGCACACAAAUUCACUUCGCUCAUGCUGAUGUAGGCUUUUGGUGAGAGCAGUUUAGGAUAAAAAGCAGUAAAUAUGACUUGGAAACAAACUUGGUGUUUAUAGAGACAAAACAUGAUUACUGAGGUCUUUCUGAAUGUUUUCAAGACAUAGGAUAGCUACCUUACCUUUGCAAAACUUGUGGGAUUUUUAAUAACACAGAGGCAGACAUUCAAGCUUUGAACUUCCUGGUAAUGCAAAGAUAUCCCUUACAGAUCUCCUUUAAAGCUCAGGACUUACCAGUUCUUGCUAGACCUACCAGUUCCUCCAAUCUUUGAAUGCUAACAAGAUGAUGUGUGUUUUGUUUUAUCUUAUUCAAUUUGAAGGCUAUUUUGGGUAAGUAGCAUCAUUACUAACGAUUGUGUGCAAGUUUGUUAUUAUACGCAUGAUUUGUAAACCCAGUUCUUGAAACGGCGCAGCAGUGAGUGCAUUUGUUGCAGCACAUCCAAGUAAAAUAUGUUCCACAAAUGAGGUACAGGGAGAAGGUAGGUUGGAAGUUUACGAAGCUGUGGUUUUGUUUUCAAGUAUUAAACGUUAUCAGUUGUGUUUGUUUUACUUUAUGCAUAUUUAUGUCUGCCAUUGAUACUUCUGUUAUGACAGGAAAGGAAAUUAUGACAAACAGAAGAAGAAACUAAAAAAUGAGCAGUUAGCAUGAAUCACUCAAGAAAUAAGUGGUCAAUGCUGAUGGCAGUGCAAUAAGAGUCUUUUCCACUUGGGAUAAUUAAGUCAUUAAGAGGGAAGAAUCUGUAAGAGUGAAACACUUGACAUCCAUUCAGCCUCUGUAUCUACCACUACCUGGUGUCCUUAGAGAAGGAUUUUCACAUCUGGGCAAAACAUAGUACAGAAGCAGGACAGAGUGACAGACAUAAGUUGGAAACGUAGGCACUGAUUUUGAUUAA